rnacentral:rRNA from 1 species
UACGUAGGGGGCAAGCGUUAUCCGGAUUUACUGGGUGUAAAGGGAGCGCAGACGGCAGUGCAAGUCUGGAGUGAAAGCCCGGGGCUCAACCCCGGGACUGCUUUGGAAACUGCAUAGCUGGAGUGCUGGAGAGGCAAGCGGAAUUCCUAGUGUAGCGGUGAAAUGCGUAGAUAUUAGGAGGAACACCAGUGGCGAAGGCGGCCUGCUGGGCUUUUACUGACGCUGAGGCUCGAAAGUGUGGGGAGCAAACAGG